UGCCAGCCGCCGCGGUAACACGGGGGGCGCAAGCGUUAUUCGGAAUUAUUGGGCGUAAAGGGCGCGCAGGCGGUCUUGUCAGUCAGGCGUGAAAUCCCGGGGCUCGACCUCGGAACAGCAUCUGAAACUGCGCAUCUUGAGGGUAGGCGGAGAAAACGGAAUUCCACGUGUAGCGGUGAAAUGCGUAGAUAUGUGGAAGAACACCUGUGGCGAAAGCGGUUUUCUAGCUUACACCUGACGCUGAAGCGCGAAAGCAAGGGGAGCGAACAGGAUUAGAUA
rnacentral:rRNA from 1 species